rnacentral:lncRNA from 1 species
CAAAUGUAUUUAAAUUUUGUCAGAAGCUUUAUAACGUUUCGGCUGAUAAUAGAAUACUAUUACAUGAAAGCAUCUAGUGAUCUUUUUUACAGUAAGUUACAUUGUUUUCUUAAAUUGUAUAGACUUUUUUUCGUAAUUAAUUUAAGCAAAUUUUUUGCUAAUCCAAUAGCGUUGAUUUUCUCCAGCAAGCAAUCUUUUUCGUAUUUUUUUCUUGUAAUAUUCUUUAAGAUUUUCUUUUUUGAAUACUCUUUGAACGAAUGCUUUAUUGCAUUCAAACUUCGUAGCUAAAUUUUGUUGUAACUGAGUCUGAUUUUGAUGUAUUAAGUCGACUAUUGAUUUUCCCUUUUUUUUUUGAAAUAAAUCUUGAUUUUCCACCAUUUCCCGAUUUUAUUUUAUAGUUAUGUUUUCCUUAUAACAAUUUAUAAUAAUUCCAACAGUUGAUUUUGGAACUUUACAUGCUUUUGAAAUCAUGGAAUAUGAGAACUAUGCAUUUUCUAUGUAAAAUUUUAAAAUGUUUUCGAUUUUCUGACUCUGACUACUCAACAUUGCAAGACUAACGAAGAGUAAACAAAACUACACUCACACAUAAGGAAACUAAUUAUGUUAGCAUCACUAUAAAAAAAAUCAUAACAAUUGAUUAAGGAGUAUUUGAGAAAACUCAAUUUAAAAUCGUUCGAGUUUUAACCAAUCAUGGUAAUAUACCACGUGUAUAGAAUGUGGCAAAACAGGGUAUUGGGGUGAAACGAGAUAUUGUUAAAACAACCUUUUCAGAGCCCCAAAACGUCCGGUCAAAGAGUUAAUCUGCGAGAUUACGUAACAAGAAGAAGCUAUCUUUUGUUCCAAUAAACAAGUUCAGUCAGCUUUUGGCAUCUUAAAAAUGAGAAAUUAUGAACUGAAAACAAAUAGAAGUUCUUGGGAUGAAACUGUCAUACUCCAAGCGGUAAAGACAGUGGUCAAUAGAUUGUAUGGAUUCAAAAAAGCUACUGAGUUGCACAGGGUGUCCAAGACUACAUUAGAGCGCAGGCUAGCCAAGAACGACGAAAAAAAGGUUUUAAAAAAAGGCUUUAGGAAGCUAGUAAAAAGAGUGCCCCAAAAAGUCCUUAUGAUCUUAUCACAAAGCACCGCGGAGGAGCAUUUGGAAAGAAGUUCAUGCCUUUUUUCUUACCGAUAUUAUAAGACUUGCCUAGAGUUGGUGUUGAACCACUGAUCUCUAACUUCUAAGGCAAGCGCAUUAUGUGGUAGUUUAUUUCGUCAGCCUGAUUUAUUCCAUCCCAUGCGUAAAACUCCAAACAAAAAUGCGUUUUUAAGUUAUAGUCAUUAGAAAUUACAGUUAUGAUAAAAAUAAAUCAGAAAACUUAAGAUUGGAUUUAAUAUAGAGCUAUUAAUAAAAGUGCAUGAAUCAUUAUUAUGAUUCCAUAUAUAUUUAUACCAUAUUCCGCAAAAAUACUACUGUAAUGUCAUUUGUUUGUAGCAAUUUAUGCAGUAAUGAAAUUACUGCAAAAUAAAUUGUGUUUGGAUAUAAUAUUUUAUAUUCUUGAUACACAAAAAAUAUGCUUUUUUCAGAGAGUUUACGCAUAU